rnacentral:rRNA from 1 species
UACAGAGGUCCCAAGCGUUGUUCGGAUUCACUGGGCGUAAAGGGUGCGUAGGCGGUCGGGUAAGUCUGAUGUGAAAUCUCACAGCUUAACUGUGAAACUGCAUUGGAUACUAUCCGGCUCGAGGAAUGGAGGGGAGACUGGAAUACUUGGUGUAGCAGUGAAAUGCGUAGAUAUCAAGUGGAACACCAGUGGCGAAGGCGAGUCUCUGGACAUUUCCUGACGCUGAGGCACGAAGCCAGGGGAGCAAACGGG